CCUACGGGCGGCUGCAGUGGGGAAUAUUGGACAAUGGGGGAAACCCUGAUCCAGCAAUGCCGCGUGUGUGAAGAAGGCCUGCGGGUUGUAAAGCACUUUCGGUUGGGAAGAAAAGUUUGGCGCCAAUACCGCCGAACCUUGACGUUACUGACAGAAGAAGCACCGGCUAACUCUGUGCCAGCAGCCGCGGUCAUACAGAGGGUGCAAGCGUUAGUCGAGCUCACUUGGCUGGACACGCAAGUAGGUGGUGAAAUCCCCGGGCUUAACCUGGGAACUGCAUUCGAUACUACAUGGCUAGAGUAUGGUAGAGGGAAGUGGAAUGUCCGGUGUAGCGGUGAAAUGCGUAGAUAUCGGAAGGAACACCAAUGGCGAAGGCAGCUUCCUGGACUAAUACUGACACUGAGGCACGAAAGCGUGGGUAGCAAACAGGAUUAGAUACCCCUGUAGUC
rnacentral:rRNA from 1 species